rnacentral:rRNA from 1 species
GUGCCAGCAGCCGCGGUAAUACGUAGGGGGCAAGCGUUGUCCGGAAUCAUUGGGCGUAAAGCGCGUGUAGGCGGCCAGAAAAGUCCGCUGUGAAAACUCGAGGCUCAACUUCGAGCUGUCGGUGGAAACUUUCUGGCUAGAGUCCGGAAGAGGAGAGUGGAAUUCCUGGUGUAGCGGUGAAAUGCGCAGAUAUCAGGAGGAACACCCGUGGCGAAGGCGGCUCUCUGGGACGGUACUGACGCUGAGACGCGAAAGCGGGGGGAGCAAACAGGAUUAGAUACCCUAGUAGUCC